rnacentral:rRNA from 1 species
UACGGAGGGGGCUAGCGUUGUUCGGAAUUACUGGGCGUAAAGCGCGCGUAGGCAGACCUGCAAGUCGGGGGUGAAAGCCCGAGGCUCAACCUCGGAACUGCCUUCGAUACUGCGGGUCUCGAGUCCGGGAGAGGUGAGUGGAAUUCCUAGUGUAGAGGUGAAAUUCGUAGAUAUUAGGAAGAACACCAGUGGCGAAGGCGGCUCACUGGCCCGGUACUGACGCUGAGGCGCGAAAGCGUGGGGAGCGAACAGG